rnacentral:rRNA from 1 species
CCUACGGGUGGCAGCAGUGGGGAAUAUUGCACAAUGGGGGAAACCCUGAUGCAGCGACGCCGCGUGAGCGAUGAAGUAUUUCGGUAUGUAAAGCUCUAUCAGCAGGGAAGAAAAUGACGGUACCUGACUAAGAAGCCCCGGGCAACUACGUGCCAGCAGCCGGGGGAAUGCGUAGGGGGCAAGGGUUAUCCGGAUUUACUGGGUGUAAAGGGAGCGUAGACGGCGAUGCAAGCCAGAUGUGAAAGCCCGGGGGCCCACCCCGGGACAGCAUUUGGAACUGUAUAGCUGGAGUGUCGGAGAGGCAGGCGGAAUUCCUAGUGUAGCGGUGAAAUGCGUAGAUAUUAGGAGGAACACCAGUGGCGAAGGCAGCCUGCUGGACGAUGACUGACGUUGAGGCUCGAAAGCGUGGGGAGCAAACAGGAUUAGAUACCCCUGUAGUC